rnacentral:lncRNA from 1 species
GGGAUGUGGAUGUUAUGUUGGAUAGGGCUGCCAACUGCAUCACGGAGACUGCUAGAAAAGUGUUGGGUAUUUUGAAAGGUCGGGCAGGUCGUCAUAACAGGGACUGGUGGUGAAAUAAAGAAGUGAAGAGGAAAGUGGAGAUAAAAAAGGAGGCGUAUGUUAGGUUUUUUGAGAGUAAAGACGAAGAUGAGAAGUAGGUGAAUAAGGAGGCUUACAGAGUAGUUAGGAAAGAGGCAAAGUUAGCAGUUAUGACUACUAAGUUAGCAGCGUUCGAGAGCUUGUAUGAGGGUUUGGAAGAGAAAGACGGGGAAAAGUGGUUGUAUAGGCUGGUUAAGGCUAUAGAGAAGAAUGGUUGUGACCUCGAUCAAGUAAAGUGCAUUAAGGGAGAGGAUGAUAGUAUUUUGGUGGAGAAUUCUCAUAUUAAGAAGAGAUGGCAGGAGUACUUUCAUAGCCUUUUGAACGAAGAGGGGGAUAGAGGUGUUGAGUUAGGAGAACUGGAGCACUCAGAGGAGAGUCGUGAUUUUUGUUACCAUAGGUGUUUUAAGGUUGAGGAGGUAAGAGAAGUUAUUCGUAGGAUGCGGAGAGUUAGGGCGACGAGGCCUGACGAAAUUCUGGUGGACUUUUGGAAGUAUGCUGGUGGGGCUGGUUUAAGGUGGUUGAAUGAUUUAUUUAACAAUAUUUUUAAGGCUGCGAGUAUGCCUGAGGCUUGGGAUUGAGGAGGGUCGUGGCCAUAUUGGAUAAUCAGUUUGGUUUUAUGCCUGGUCGCUCGACGACAGAGGCAAUCCAUCUGGUGAGGAGACUGGUGGAGUAGUAUAGAGAAAGGAAGAGGGAAUUACAUAUGGUGUUCAUCGACCUGGAAAAGGCAUAUGAUAAAGUCCUAAGAGAGGUUCUGUAGAGAUUCCUGGAGGUGAGAAGGGUCCCAGUAGCUUACAUCCGAGCUAUUAAGGACAUGUAUGAUGGAGAAAAGACUUGGGUGAGGACGACGGGAGGAGACUCUGAGCAUUUUUGGGUCGAGACAGGGUUGCUUUAGGGUUAGACCCUUAGUCCCUUCUUAUUUGCGUUGGUGAUGGACGUAUUGAUGCGGAGUAUUUAGGGAAAGGUGCCUUGGUGUAUGUUAUUUAUAGAUGAUAUAGUGCUGAUUGAUAAGAUACGUAGGGGUGUGAAUAAAAAAUUCGAGAUUUGGAGGCAAACCCUUGAGUCUAAGGGGUUUAGGUUGAGUAGGUCCAAGACAGAGUAUUUGGAAUACAAGUUUAGUGACUUGAGGCAGGAGGGAGAAGUGGUGGUGAGAUUGGACACCUAGGAGGUUUGCAAGAGGGAUAGUUUUAAGUAUCUUGGGUCUAUGAUUUAGGGGAACGGGGAGAUUAAUGAGGAUGUUUCUAUACAUAUUGUAGUAGGUUGGAUGAAGUGGGGGCUCUCCUUGGGAGUGUUGUGAGAUAAGAAGGUGCUUCAUAAUCUUAAAGGCAAAUUCUAU